AUUGAACGCUGGCGGCAUGCCUUACACAUGCAAGUCGAACGGCAGCACGGGAGCAAUCCUGGUGGCGAGUGGCGAACGGGUGAGUAAUAUAUCGGAACGUGCCCAGUCGUGGGGAUAACGUAGCGAAAGCUACGCUAAUACCGCAUACGAUCUAUGGAUGAAAGCGGGGGAUCGCAAGACCUCGCGCGAUUGGAGCGGCCGAUAUCAGAUUAGGUAGUUGGUGAGGUAAAGGCUCACCAAGCCGACGAUCUGUAGCUGGUCUGAGAGGACGACCAGCCACACUGGGACUGAGACACGGCCCAGACUCCUACGGGAGGCAGCAGUGGGAAUUUUGGACAAUGGGCGCAAGCCUGAUCCAGCAAUGCCGCGUGCAGGAUGAAGGCCUCGGUUGUAACUGCUUUGUACGGUAACGAAACGGUA
rnacentral:rRNA from 1 species